rnacentral:rRNA from 1 species
UACGUAGGGACCAAGCGUUGUUCGGAUUUACCGGGCGUAAAGGGCGCGUAGGCGGCAAUUCAAGUCAUCUGUGAAAUCUCCGGGCUUAACCCGGAACGGUCAGAUGAUACUGCUUUGCUAGAGUGCGGAAGGGGCAAUCGGAAUUCUCGGUGUAGCGGUGAAAUGCGUAGAUAUCAGGAGGAACACCUGCGGUGUAGACGGCUUACUGGACGGUAACUGACGCUGAGGCACGAAAGCGUGGGUAGCAAACAGG